rnacentral:lncRNA from 1 species
CUCUAUGGGGUCCCUAUGGGUCUCUAUGGGGCAGCAUCCGGGAACUGCACGACAUGUUCGUGGACAUGGCCAUGCUGGUCGAGAGCCAGGUUAGGGGGCAGCUAUGGGGCGCUAUGGGGCUCUAUGGGGCUCUAUGGGUCUCUAUGGGGUCCUAUGGGGGUCUAUGGGGUCCCUAUGGGGGUCAGGUGGGCUCUAUGGGGUCUCUAUGGGGCUCUAUGGGAUCUGUGGGGUCUCUAUGGGGGCUCUAUGGGGUCCUAUGGGGGCUCUAUAGGUCUCUAUGGGGUCCUAUGGGGGUCUAUGGGGUCCCUAUGGGGUCCUAUGGGGGUUCUAUGGGGCUCUAUGGGGCUCUAUGUGGGUUCUAUGGGGUCUGUGGGGCUCUAUGGGGUCCCUAUGGGGGCUCUGUGGGGCUCUAUGGGGCUCUAUGGGGUCCCUAUGGGGGUCAGGAGGGCUCUAUGGGGUCUCUAUGGGGUCCUAUGGGGCUCUAUGGGGCUCUAUGGGGUCCUAUGGGGGUUCUAUGGGGGUCUAUGGGGUCUCUAUGGGGGCUCUAUGAGGCUCUAUGGGAUCUAUGGGGUCCUAUGGGGGUCUAUGGGGGCUCUAUGGGGUUCUAUGGGGCUCUGUGGGGCUCUAUGGGGUCCCUAUGGGUCUCUAUGGGGCAGCAUCAAGGAGCUGCACGACAUGUUUGUCGACAUCGCCAUGUUGGUGGAGAACCAGGUUAGGGGGCAGCUAUGGGGCGCUAUGGGGCUCUAUGGGGUCCUAUGGGGUCUCUAUGGGGCUCUAUGGGGUCCUAUGGGGUCCUAUGGGGGUUCUAUGGGGCUCUAUGGGGUCCUAUGGGGUCCUAUGGGGCUCUGUGGGGCUCUACGGAGUCUCUAUGGGUCUCUAUGGGGCGAGAGCCAGGUUAGGGGGCAGCUAUGGGGCGCUUUGGGGCUCUAUGGGGGUCUGUGGGGCUCUAUGGGGUCCCUAUGGGGUCCUAUGGGGGCUCUAUGGGGUCCUAUGGGGGCUCUGUGGGGCUCUAUGGGGUCCUAUGAGGCUCUAUGGGGUCCCUAUGGGGUCUCU